UGGGGAAUUUUGGACAAUGGGCGCAAGCCUGAUCCAGCAAUGCCGCGUGCAGGAUGAAGGCCUUCGGGUUGUAAACUGCUUUUGUACGGAACGAAAAGCCUCUCUCUAAUACAGGGGGUGAUGACGGUACCGUAAGAAUAAGCACCGGCUAACUACGUGCCAGCAGCCGCGGUAAUACGUAGGGUGCAAGCGUUAAUCGGAAUUACUGGGCGUAAAGCGUGCGCAGGCGGUUUUGUAAGACAGUGGUGAAAUCCCCGGGCUCAACCUGGGAACUGCCAUUGUGACUGCAAGGCUGGAGUGCGGCAGAGGGGGAUGGAAUUCCGCGUGUAGCAGUGAAAUGCGUAGAUAUGCGGAGGAACACCGAUGGCGAAGCAAUCCCCUGGGCCUGCACUGACGCUCAUGCACGAAAGCGUGGGGAGCAAACAGGAUUAGAUACCCCUGGUAGUCCACGCCCUAAACGAUGUCAACUGGUUGUUGGGG
rnacentral:rRNA from 1 species